ACUAAGCGUACACGGUGGAUGCCCUGGCAGUCAGAGGCGAUGAAGGACGUGCUAAUCUGCGAUAAGCGUCGGUAAGGUGAUAUGAACCGUUAUAACCGGCGAUUUCCGAAUGGGGAAACCCAGUGUGUUUCGACACACUAUCAUUAACUGAAUCCAUAGGUUAAUGAGGCGAACCGGGGGAACUGAAACAUCUAAGUACCCCGAGGAAAAGAAAUCAACCGAGAUUCCCCCAGUAGCGGCGAGCGAACGGGGAGGAGCCCAGAGCCUGAAUCAGUGUGUGUGUUAGUGGAAGCGUCUGGAAAGGCGCGCGAUACAGGGUGACAGCCCCGUACACAAAAAUGCACAUACUGUGAGCUCGAUGAGUAGGGCGGGACACGUGGUAUCCUGUCUGAAUAUGGGGGGACCAUCCUCCAAGGCUAAAUACUCCUGACUGACCGAUAGUGAACCAGUACCGUGAGGGAAAGGCGAAAAGAACCCCGGCGAGGGGAGUGAAAAAGAACCUGAAACCGUGUACGUACAAGCAGUGGGAGCCUCUUUAUGGGGUGACUGCGUACCUUUUGUAUAAUGGGUCAGCGACUUAUAUUCUGUAGCAAGGUUAACCGAAUAGGGGAGCCGAAGGGAAACCGAGUCUUAACUGGGCGUUAAGUUGCAGGGUAUAGACCCGAAACCCGGUGAUCUAGCCAUGGGCAGGUUGAAGGUUGGGUAACACUAACUGGAGGACCGAACCGACUAAUGUUGAAAAAUUAGCGGAUGACUUGUGGCUGGGGGUGAAAGGCCAAUCAAACCGGGAGAUAGCUGGUUCUCCCCGAAAGCUAUUUAGGUAGCGCCUCGUGAAUUCAUCUCCGGGGGUAGAGCACUGUUUCGGCAAGGGGGUCAUCCCGACUUACCAACCCGAUGCAAACUGCGAAUACCGGAGAAUGUUAUCACGGGAGACACACGGCGGGUGCUAACGUCCGUCGUGAAGAGGGAAACAACCCAGACCGCCAGCUAAGGUCCCAAAGUCAUGGUUAAGUGGGAAACGAUGUGGGAAGGCCCAGACAGCCAGGAUGUUGGCUUAGAAGCAGCCAUCAUUUAAAGAAAGCGUAAUAGCUCACUGGUCGAGUCGGCCUGCGCGGAAGAUGUAACGGGGCUAAACCAUGCACCGAAGCUGCGGCAGCGACGCUUAUGCGUUGUUGGGUAGGGGAGCGUUCUGUAAGCCUGCGAAGGUGUGCUGUGAGGCAUGCUGGAGGUAUCAGAAGUGCGAAUGCUGACAUAAGUAACGAUAAAGCGGGUGAAAAGCCCGCUCGCCGGAAGACCAAGGGUUCCUGUCCAACGUUAAUCGGGGCAGGGUGAGUCGACCCCUAAGGCGAGGCCGAAAGGCGUAGUCGAUGGGAAACAGGUUAAUAUUCCUGUACUUGGUGUUACUGCGAAGGGGGGACGGAGAAGGCUAUGUUGGCCGGGCGACGGUUGUCCCGGUUUAAGCGUGUAGGCUGGUUUUCCAGGCAAAUCCGGAAAAUCAAGGCUGAGGCGUGAUGACGAGGCACUACGGUGCUGAAGCAACAAAUGCCCUGCUUCCAGGAAAAGCCUCUAAGCAUCAGGUAACAUCAAAUCGUACCCCAAACCGACACAGGUGGUCAGGUAGAGAAUACCAAGGCGCUUGAGAGAACUCGGGUGAAGGAACUAGGCAAAAUGGUGCCGUAACUUCGGGAGAAGGCACGCUGAUAUGUAGGUGAAGCGACUUGCUCGUGGAGCUGAAAUCAGUCGAAGAUACCAGCUGGCUGCAACUGUUUAUUAAAAACACAGCACUGUGCAAACACGAAAGUGGACGUAUACGGUGUGACGCCUGCCCGGUGCCGGAAGGUUAAUUGAUGGGGUUAGCGGUAACGCGAAGCUCUUGAUCGAAGCCCCGGUAAACGGCGGCCGUAACUAUAACGGUCCUAAGGUAGCGAAAUUCCUUGUCGGGUAAGUUCCGACCUGCACGAAUGGCGUAAUGAUGGCCAGGCUGUCUCCACCCGAGACUCAGUGAAAUUGAACUCGCUGUGAAGAUGCAGUGUACCCGCGGCAAGACGGAAAGACCCCGUGAACCUUUACUAUAGCUUGACACUGAACAUUGAGCCUUGAUGUGUAGGAUAGGUGGGAGGCUUUGAAGUGUGGACGCCAGUCUGCAUGGAGCCGGCCUUGAAAUACCACCCUUUAAUGUUUGAUGUUCUAACGUUGGCCCCUGAUCGGGGUUGCGGACAGUGUCUGGUGGGUAGUUUGACUGGGGCGGUCUCCUCCUAAAGAGUAACGGAGGAGCACGAAGGUUGGCUAAUCCUGGUCGGACAUCAGGAGGUUAGUGCAAUGGCAUAAGCCAGCUUGACUGCGAGCGUGACGGCGCGAGCAGGUGCGAAAGCAGGUCAUAGUGAUCCGGUGGUUCUGAAUGGAAGGGCCAUCGCUCAACGGAUAAAAGGUACUCCGGGGAUAACAGGCUGAUACCGCCCAAGAGUUCAUAUCGACGGCGGUGUUUGGCACCUCGAUGUCGGCUCAUCACAUCCUGGGGCUGAAGUAGGUCCCAAGGGUAUGGCUGUUCGCCAUUUAAAGUGGUACGCGAGCUGGGUUUAGAACGUCGUGAGACAGUUCGGUCCCUAUCUGCCGUGGGCGCUGGAGAACUGAGGGGGGCUGCUCCUAGUACGAGAGGACCGGAGUGGACGCAUCACUGGUGUUCGGGUUGUCAUGCCAAUGGCACUGCCCGGUAGCUAAAUGCGGAAGAGAUAAGUGCUGAAAGCAUCUAAGCACGAAACUUGCCCCGAGAUGAGUUCUCCCUGAGACUUUAAGUCUCCUGAAGGAACGUUGAAGACGACGACGUUGAUAGGCCGGGUGUGUAAGCGCAGCGAUGCGUUGAGCUAACCGGUACUAAUGAACCGUGAGGCUUAACC
rnacentral:rRNA from 1 species